ACAAAAAUAUCAUAAGAUGUCAAUGAAUAAAAGUGUUUGGGUACAGUUUUGUGGCGUGCGUGUGCGGGGAAAGUGGUAGGCUUGGGCGGUAUACCGUAUUAUCAAUACUGUCAAUCAGGGGUGUCAAUUUGGGCAGGCUUUAGGACCAUGCAGACACCUCGGAGUGGGCGGGAAGGCUGUUUGCCUGACUGCGGUGAACAGCCCGACUUUCCUCUCAAAACAGUGCAGAGGUGGAAGAUGGCUGUAACUGACUAGGUCCCGGAUGAUCACAGAUGUCCUCUCUGUCAGACCCUCGAAAGCUGGCACCCAUUCAUCAGCUGUGGGCAAGAGACGGCCAGACAGACGUGUCAAAACGCAACAUCCGAAGAAGGCUCAGUGCCCCAUCCCUAUAUGUCAUCACAACUAGAGCUGCCUGCAUGGAUUGAGUUAGAACAUUGAUGUGCAGCUGGCCAGCAUAGUCAGCCCUGAAGGGAAGGGAUUAAUUACAUAUGCAUUGUGCUAAUGGUUCCUGGUUCAAACCACUCUUGACAACUUAGGCCUUUGGUGUUGUCAGACUAAAACCAAAGCUUUUUAGAUAAUGGCUCAUCAUGGAAAGUGUGAUACAGCUAGCAUGAUAGAGGAUGUCAUUUUAUGUAAGAGGGUCAAGAAAAAAAAUUAAAACAGGCAAUGCUCUCUGAAA